rnacentral:rRNA from 1 species
CGAAUGCUGACAUAAGUAACGAUAAAGCGGGUGAAAAGCCCGCUCGCCGGAAGACCAAGGGUUCCUGUCCAACGUUAAUCGGGGCAGGGUGAGUCGACCCCUAAGGCGAGGCCGAAAGGCGUAGUCGAUGGGAAACAGGUUAAUAUUCCUGUACUUGGUGUUACUGCGAAGGGGGGACGGAGAAGGCUAUGUUGGCCGGGCGACGGUUGUCCCGGUUUAAGCGUGUAGGCUGGUUUUCCAGGCAAAUCCGGAAAAUCAAGGCUGAGGCGUGAUGACGAGGCACUACGGUGCUGAAGCAACAAAUGCCCUGCUUCCAGGAAAAGCCUCUAAGCAUCAGGUAACAUCAAAUCGUACCCCAAACCGACACAGGUGGUCAGGUAGAGAAUACCAAGGCGCUUGAGAGAACUCGGGUGAAGGAACUAGGCAAAAUGGUGCCGUAACUUCGGGAGAAGGCACGCUGAUAUGUAGGUGAAGUCCCUCGCG